GGCCCUGUCGUCUAGUCAGGUCCAGGACGGGAGCCUCUCAAGCUCCAAACACGGGUUCAAAUCCCGUCAGGGUCA
rnacentral:tRNA from 1 species